rnacentral:rRNA from 1 species
AUUCUGUAGCAAGGUUAACCGUAUAGGGGAGCCGGAGGGAAACCGAGUCUUAACCGGGCGUUAAGUUGCAGGGUAUAGACCCGAAACCCGGUGAUCUAGCCAUGGGCAGGUUGAAGGUUGGGUAACACUAACUGGAGGACCGAACCGACUAAUGUUGAAAAAUUAGCGGAUGACCUGUGGCUGGGGGUGAAAGGCCAAUCAAACCGGGAGAUAGCUGGUUCUCCCCGAAAGCUAUUUAGGUAGCGCCUCGUGAAUUCAUCUCCGGGGGUAGAGCACUGUUUCGGCUAGGGGGCCAUCCCGGCUUACCAACCCGAUGCAAACUGCGAAUACCGGAGAAUGUUAUCACGGGAGACACACGGCGGGUGCUAACGUCCGUCGUGAAGAGGGAAACAACCCAGACCGCCAGCUAAGGUCCCAAAGUCAUGGUUAAGUGGGAAACGAUGUGGGAAGGCCCAGACAGCCAGGAUGUUGGCUUAGAAGCAGCCAUCAUUUAAAGAAAGCGUAAUAGCUCACUGGUCGAGUCGGCCUGCGCGGAAGAUGUAACGGGGCUAAACCAUGCACCGAAGCUGCGGCAGCGACGCUGAUGCGUUGUUGGGUAGGGGAGCGUUCUGUAAGCCUGCGAAGGUGGCCUGUGAGGGUUGCUGGAGGUAUCAGAAGUGCGAAUGCUGACAUAAGUAACGAUAAAGCGGGUGAAAAGCCCGCUCGCCGGAAGACCAAGGGUUCCUGUCCAACGUUAAUCGGGGCAGGGUGAGUCGACCCCUAAGGCGAGGCCGAAAGGCGUAGUCGAUGGGAAACGGGUUAAUAUUCCCGUACUUGGUGUUACUGCGAAGGGGGGACGGAGAAGGCUAUGUUGGCCGGGCGACGGUUGUCCCGGUUUAAGCGUGUAGGUGUGUGUUCCAGGUAAAUCCGGUUCACUUUAACACUGAGGCGUGAUGACGAGGCACUACGGUGCUGAAGCAACAAAUGCCCUGCUUCCAGGAAAAGCCUCUAAGCAUCAGGUAACAUCAAAUCGUACCCCAAACCGACACAGGUGGUCAGGUAGAGAAUACCAAGGCGCUUGAGAGAACUCGGGUGAAGGAACUAGGCAAAAUGGUGCCGUAACUUCGGGAGAAGGCACGCUGACACGUAGGUGAAGUGAUUUACUCAUGGAGCUGAAGUCAGUCGAAGAUACCAGCUGGCUGCAACUGUUUAUUAAAAACACAGCACUGUGCAAACACGAAAGUGGACGUAUACGGUGUGACGCCUGCCCGGUGCCGGAAGGUUAAUUGAUGGGGUCAGCGCAAGCGAAGCUCCUGAUCGAAGCCCCGGUAAACGGCGGCCGUAACUAUAACGGUCCUAAGGUAGCGAAAUUCCUUGUCGGGUAAGUUCCGACCUGCACGAAUGGCGUAAUGAUGGCCAGGCUGUCUCCACCCGAGACUCAGUGAAAUUGAACUCGCUGUGAAGAUGCAGUGUACCCGCGGCAAGACGGAAAGACCCCGUGAACCUUUACUAUAGCUUGACACUGAACAUUGAGCCUUGAUGUGUAGGAUAGGUGGGAGGCUUUGAAGUGUGGACGCCAGUCUGCAUGGAGCCGACCUUGAAAUACCACCCUUUAAUGUUUGAUGUUCUAACGUGGACCCGUGAUCCGGGUUGCGGACAGUGUCUGGUGGGUAGUUUGACUGGGGCGGUCUCCUCCUAAAGAGUAACGGAGGAGCACGAAGGUUGGCUAAUCCUGGUCGGACAUCAGGAGGUUAGUGCAAUGGCAUAAGCCAGCUUGACUGCGAGCGUGACGGCGCGAGCAGGUGCGAAAGCAGGUCAUAGUGAUCCGGUGGUUCUGAAUGGAAGGGCCAUCGCUCAACGGAUAAAAGGUACUCCGGGGAUAACAGGCUGAUACCGCCCAAGAGUUCAUAUCGACGGCGGUGUUUGGCACCUCGAUGUCGGCUCAUCACAUCCUGGGGCUGAAGUAGGUCCCAAGGGUAUGGCUGUUCGCCAUUUAAAGUGGUACGCGAGCUGGGUUUAGAACGUCGUGAGACAGUUCGGUCCCUAUCUGCC